AUGUUUCUUUUUUACCUCUUUCUUUAAUUUACUUGUUAAGAGGGGAUCUACUUUCCAUUAUUGAUUUUGAAUUUCACAACAUAAAUGGUGAAAUAAGUUUGUCAUGUGUGCUUUAUUCUGAACUUUUUACAGGAGUGGAGGAGGUGAGUGCAGAUAGCAAGGGGAGCAAAGUGGUGGUGAAAGGAAAGGAAGCUGACCCCAUGAAAGUGGUUGAGAGGCUUCAAAAGAAAAGUGGUAAAAAAGUAGAGUUCAUUUCACCUUUGCCUAAACCUCAACAAGAAGAACAGGGGAAAAAGGAAGAACCACCCAAAAAAGAAGAGCCUCUGCAACCACCUCAAGAGAACAAAGAUCAGGUACUUCAAUUUAUUCAUUCUCUUUGUCAUCUACUAACCUUUCUCUAUGAUGUUAACAUUGUUACUAAAAUUAGAAAUGUGUAUAGCAUAUGUUUACUUGAGGUGCUUGAUAGAGUUGCUAGAUAAAGCUAUAG